UCAAACAUCUGAGCUUCAGUACAAGCUCCAUUCUCCAACCCACACUGCGCAUCUGGCGCUAAUCUCCAUCCCACAGCCAUGCUCGAGCAUUAAGGUUCGCCAUUCCUCCCAUGACGAGCUUACGACCUCGCCAUACCAUGCUUCGAUCACAUCACCAGCUCACACCAACAUUAAAGACCAAAACUAACUCUGGCCGAUGUGGUUUUGGUUUUCUUGAAUGAAAAUUUGAAAUCAUAGUUUCUUCCAUUCUAAUCUGUAUUGACCCAAAAUGCCUUGUCAAUUAGGAGCUGUAAUUUCAUUGUUGUUGCUGCUGUGCUUUCUGGAAACCACAACUUUGAGGGCAGAGUGCAUCCUUUGACUGGGGCUAUUAUCUUGCUUCACCUCCACUUGUGGUGGCAUAUGCUCUUACCGGCACUAAGCAAGCCAAAGAACUGGAAGCAAAAUGGGACUCAAUUGUAAUUGAAGAAGAGGAGACUGUGAAAGACUAUUAUGAUUUCCUGCAACAGUAUAGAAGUCUAAAGGAAGAUGUCCAUGACAUUACCUGCGACGUUAUAAUUAAUUUUGAAAGGGUGAUAGGCACAGCUGACGAUAAGGGAUUAUCAACGAGCUGAUUUAGAUUUUGGCUUUUAUGAUCAGUAAAAGGCUACAUUCAGUAUUCCUAUUCAGUUGCUAAUGGAUUUGAUUUCUAAAAAUUUGUGUCGCAGAUAAAAGACCUGAAGAUGCAGAAUACAAUGAUAAUAUUCUAACAAAGUGUGUUCUGGAUAAGAGUGUUGGUGCAAAGAAAUCAGCAAGAGUAGAGAAGAUGCGAGGAACUUGAAGCAGAUGGGGCUAAUUAGUUGCUAACCACCACCACAUCCUAGAAGUUCUAGAUAGUGAACACUAUUUAGAGAAGAGGUUGCUUUAGUACUAUAAUUUGGAGAACUUUCAGCUCCAUGCUGUCAAGAUUUGUUGAUCAAAGUCAUUGAAGCUCAGAGCAAAAUUGGUAAUACACUCAGAAGAAAGCAAACAUGAUUUCAUGGUGAUGUUGAAGGAAUUGGUGGGCUAAUAAAAUUAGGCUGUACUAGGGGAACAAUUCACUUCCUGUCAUUUCUGUUCCUUUUCCGGAAUUCUCAUUUUUCAGAUGAAUAUUGCUUCUUCGUCAGUAGAUUAUGGAAUGCCAUAUUUAGUGCUGAGGUUGUUGACACUAGCAUAGCUUCUAUUUUGGUGACAUCUGAACUGCCUACACUAGUAGAUCAAUCUACAGAGAAUUCGCAUUUUAUCUUUGCACGAAAUUACUGAAAAUUUAGCAGUGAUGAGUGAGAUUUGUUUUCUUUAGUAAAUAGAGAGUUUGACCUUAAAGAAUUGAAUAGCAAGUUCUGUUGACAGAAUAGUUGAUGGAUUAAUUAAUUGUCUAUAUAAACUCUGCAUAAGAAAAAGUGGCAAAAAUUUUUAACCUGUGCAUGCAGAAUAGAAAGCAAGUUCAGAAACUCUGUAGUUCCUUCUGAUAUCACCAUUUGUUCUCUGAAUUUUUCCCUUCUGUAAUUUUGUAUAUACACAUCAGUCAUUUUUCCUUGAUCAUAUCAAACAACUCUUGUCCCGUGCCAGUUUGUUUUGUAAAUGAUGUAAAACAAUUUACUCUCUCUGUAACAUGACAGGACCACCUCUAUCAAAAAAUCAUAGCUUCUUAAGAAGGAAAGAAAGAAGAUAAGAGAAAUGGUUAUCAUACAAAAGAAAGCCACAGGAAAUGGACUUGAGUUACUAAAGCAAGCACACACACACACAAAAAGCCUAAGCUUAAGCCACUGUUUCCUACAUUUCCUUUUGUUAUUUUUACACUCCCUUUGCAUUUGUCUCAUGCUUUUCUACCCCUCAUCUCUUCGCCGCACGCUAAAGCUAUCAGACAUUCUCACCAGCCCUACAUGAACCAAAGAAGCUCUAGGAGCCUUUUUAGAUAAUCCAUGAUUCCAUGCACACCCACACCUAACAAGAACUAAUAAAGUCCAUGCACUUAUUAAAAAAAGAAAAAAGAAAAGCCUCAGAUGCCUAUACGUGGCAUAACGAGCCUCUGAAUAUUCCCAUUUGUCCCCACAUUUUUUUCUUUAGUAACACAGCUGUUUACUUCUUUU